rnacentral:rRNA from 18 species
GGGGAAUGCCUUGGCUCUCAGAGGCGAAGAAGGACGUGAUAAGCUGCGAAAAGGUUCGGGGAGAAGCAAAUAUUUUGUGAUCCGAACAUAUCCGAAUGGGGAAACCUGUCAUACUGAAGGUAUGACGUCGAAAGACGCAAACUUGCUGAACUGAAACAUCUAAGUAGGCAAAGGAAGAGAAAACAAUAGUGAUUUCCGUAGUAGCGGCGAGCGAAGUGGAAAUAGCCCAAACCAGUUUUGUUUCGGCAAGACUGGGGUUGUAGGACUGAAUACGUUAAAUGAAUUGUUAGUGGAACUAGUUGGAAAUCUAGGCAAUAUGGGUGAUAGCCCCGUACACGAAAACGAUUUAUUUGGCAUCAGUAUCCUGAGUAGGGCGGGACAUGUGAAAUCCUGUCUGAAUCUGCCAGAACCAUCUGGUAAGGCUAAAUACUCUUGAGAGACCGAUAGCGAACUAGUACCGUGAGGGAAAGGUGAAAAGAACCCUGAACAAGGGAGUGAAAAAGAUCCUGAAACCGUGUGUCUACAAGCGGUCGAAGCCUACGGGCGACGGCGUGCCUUUUGCAUAAUGAUCCUACGAGUUACUCCUCAUUGGCAAGGUUAAGAUUUUAAGGAUCGAAGCCGAAGCGAAAGCGAGUCUUAAUAGGGCGAACUAGUCAGUGGGGGUAGACGCGAAACCUUGUGAUCUA